rnacentral:rRNA from 1 species
AUUGAACGCUGGCGGCAGGCCUAACACAUGCAAGUCGAGCGGAUGAAGGGGGCUUGCUCCUGGAUUCAGCGGCGGACGGGUGAGUAAUGCCUAGGAAUCUGCCUGGUAGUGGGGGAUAACGUCCGGAAACGGGCGCUAAUACCGCAUACGUCCUGAGGGAGAAAGUGGGGGAUCUUCGGACCUCACGCUAUCAGAUGAGCCUAGGUCGGAUUAGCUAGUUGGUGGGGUAAAGGCCUACCAAGGCGACGAUCCGUAACUGGUCUGAGAGGAUGAUCAGUCACACUGGAACUGAGACACGGUCCAGACUCCUACGGGAGGCAGCAGUGGGGAAUAUUGGACAAUGGGCGAAAGCCUGAUCCAGCCAUGCCGCGUGUGUGAAGAAGGUCUUCGGAUUGUAAAGCACUUUAAGUCGGGAGGAAGGGCAGUAAGUUAAUACCUUGCUGUUUUGACGUUACCAACAGAAUAAGCACCGGCUAACUUCGUG